UCAGAACGAUAAGAGCGUACAGAGUAACUCAGUACGCAAUCCGAUUUCGGCAAAACCUCUCUUCCCUUUUUUCUCUUCUCCUUUCCCUCCUCAGUCAGCAGCGCCCAGCCACCUCCGUGUAGUCUAGCAGCGCCACAGUCCACCGCGUCUAAAUCGCCGUCGCUGCCACUUCUGCCGCAUCAGACUCCGUCAGCGUCGAUUAGAAACUGUCGCUGCAUCGCAGUGGCCAUUUAUGAACCGUGAUCUCUUGGAGUUGCAAAUCACUGCGUCUAAAGCGGAUUCAAUUCACAAUCUCAAUUUUCUCAAUGACAAGCAUGGAGGCACGGUCAAAAGCUUAUCCUCAAGUGGUAAAAUUGGAAAAUGCACUAAAAAUAGUAAGAUCUAUCUCCUUCCUAGUCAUGGAAAAACAUGUCAAUGCAUCUUAGUUCCCUUGGUGUUGUCAUACUUGUUGUAGAAUGAUGAUGCAAUAUGUACUCAGUUGUAGCCUUUAUCACUACCGUAGGGGAUUAUUAUGCUUAAGCAUCUGUUUGGAUGCCUGUACAAUCAAGGGGCAGGCAAGUUGCUUUGCCACCCAAAUUAAUGUUGUAGAGCUUUAGAUCUGCCUUCUUGUGAA